ACUCAGUGUGUGUUCCAGCUGUAAAUACGGACAUAAAGCAAAGUGUGGGCUUUAGGUGGGCUUGAUUAAGUUUUGAACUGCCCAUAAAGGACCCACAUACAUCG